CAGGGAGACAACAAAAUGUUUAAAUAUUAUAAUUUUGUCACCUUAGGUCGAUCGGUAUCUCACGUUUUUAAUUUAUUAAGAAUUUCAUUUCCUAAGUUUUUCUAGGUCACACCCAUUAUUUUUCCUGGGCCAUUAGCUCAGGUGGUUAGAGCGCACCCCUGACAAGGGUGAGGUCCCUGGUUCAAGUCCAGGAUGGCCCAUAUCUCUAUGUGGGGGUAUAGCUCAGUUGGUAGAGCGCCUGCUUUGCAAGCAGGACGUCAGCGGUUCGAGUCCGCUAACCUCCACUGACGAAUCUUCUGACAACGAGCCAAUGGUGAGAACCGUUGUGUGAUGUGAUUUAGGAUUUAAGUUUGCUGGCAGACCCUAGCUUCUUAUCAUUCCAGGUCCCAAUUCAUUGAGGUUAGGUUGAUAGGACGCUGGGCUCACUGUAAUUCGCAAGAAUUGCAGAGAUGUUCAGUAGAACCUUGACAACUGCAUAGGUAAGUCUGGAAAGAAUAAAGCAUCUCAUGGAUGCAUGAUUCUUGGGAGUCAGCUAAUGCAAUCUGCGUCAGUAGAGAGCUGAGGUUGAUCAACGAGAAUGAUGUUUGAUUCUUGAGUCAAGAGCCGAGACUCUAUAGCGUUCUUUCGAUGUCAUCGAGGCGUCGAGAGUUUGAUUGGUCAUUCAAACCAUUUUCAAUGACAAACAAUUCAGUUUAACUGGAGAAGUUUGAGAUUGAAGCCAGGUGAAUUGCUAAGAAUACGUAUUCAACUACGUGAAGCGUUAUAGAGAUUAAUU
rnacentral:tRNA from 1 species